CGUCUUCCAGGAGCGUUCAUGCGCGGACUGCUGGCCACAGGCGGCCGAGGGGAUGUAACCGGCAGCUGAGCUGGCCAAUUGUGUCCGCAAGCUUUGGCCCGGCUGCCGCCGCCCAUAAGCUACCGGGAGGAGCUUUACGACUUCCCCGCCUGCAGGGCCGGGUGUAGCAAGGGCCAGACGCGUCACGAGCAGGCGCUGCGCCCCAACCGGCCGGCUCCUGGCGGGCCCAUUGCGGAGAAGCUCCUCAAUGGCCAGCGGCAGCUGCAGUCCCUGCCCUGCACUCGCCUCACCUGAUCCUGGGUACGUGCGUCCCACAACACCUCCUCCAGCCAGGGCCCGAGGACCCCUGGGCGCGUCCCCCGCCACCUGGCGCGGCUCAUCCUGGGCAAGGUCUUGCUCUGUUGCCCAGGCUGGAGUGAGGUGGUGAAAUCAUGGCUCACUGCAGCGUUGACCUCCGGGCUCAAGGAAUCCCUCCCCAUCAGCCUCCCCGGUGGCUAGGACUACAGAGCGAUUCUCCUGCCUCAGCCUCCCGAGUAGCUGGGACUACAGGUGUGCAC